rnacentral:rRNA from 1 species
GGGUUGUGAGGUUAAGCGACUAAGCGUACACGGUGGAUGCCCUGGCAGUCAGAGGCGAUGAAGGGCGUGCUAAUCUGCGAUAAGCGCCGGUAAGGUGAUAUGAACCGUUAUAACCGGCGAUACCCGAAUGGGGAAACCCAGUGUGACUCGUCACACUAUCAUUAACUGAAUCCAUAGGUUAAUGAGGCGAACCGGGGGAACUGAAACAUCUAAGUACCCCGAGGAAAAUAAAUCAACCGAGAUUCCCCCAGUAGCGGCGAGCGAACGGGGAGGAGCCCAGAGCCUGAAUCAGCAUGUGUGUUAGUGGAAGCGUCUGGAAAGGCGCGCGAUACAGGGUGACAGCCCCGUACACAAAAGCGCAUGUGCUGUGAGCUCGAUGAGUAGGGCGGGACACGUGGUAUCCUGUCUGAAUAUGGGGGGACCAUCCUCCAAGGCUAAAUACUCCUGACUGACCGAUAGUGAACCAGUACCGUGAGGGAAAGGCGAAAAGAACCCCGGCGAGGGGAGUGAAAAAGAACCUGAAACCGUGUACGUACAAGCAGUGGGAGCCCCACCACCAAAGCAUUCUCUGGUGUUGAAGGCCCUGCAAAGCAGCAUCGCGGUGGCGGAGCGUCGUUUGCGACGCCCAACACACAAAACAAGCGGUGAGUGCUUUGGGGUGGGGUGACUGCGUACCUUUUGUAUAAUGGGUCAGCGACUUAUAUUCUGUAGCAAGGUUAACCGAAUAGGGGAGCCGGAGGGAAACCGAGUCUUAAUUGGGCGUUAAGUUGCAGGGUAUAGACCCGAAACCCGGUGAUCUAGCCAUGGGCAGGUUGAAGGUUGGGUAACACUAACUGGAGGACCGAACCGACUAAUGUUGAAAAAUUAGCGGAUGACCUGUGGCUGGGGGUGAAAGGCCAAUCAAACCGGGAGAUAGCUGGUUCUCCCCGAAAGCUAUUUAGGUAGCGCCUCGUGAAUUCAUCUCCGGGGGUAGAGCACUGUUUCGGCUAGGGGGUCAUCCCGACUUACCAACCCGAUGCAAACUGCGAAUACCGGAGAAUGUUAUCACGGGAGACACACGGCGGGUGCUAACGUCCGUCGUGAAGAGGGAAACAACCCAGACCGCCAGCUAAGGUCCCAAAGUCAUGGUUAAGUGGGAAACGAUGUGGGAAGGCCCAGACAGCCAGGAUGUUGGCUUAGAAGCAGCCAUCAUUUAAAGAAAGCGUAAUAGCUCACUGGUCGAGUCGGCCUGCGCGGAAGAUGUAACGGGGCUAAACCAUGCACCGAAGCUGCGGCAGCGAACGUAUCACUUAAAGCGAUUCAGCGGGUUACGAUUGACGGA